AGGUCUGGUCCACAAAAGAUGAUUGUUUCGGGUGGAACGGUAAAGUUCAACCUUCGACUUUUGCCAAAGGACUUACCAGAAACGGGAUCCAAAGCAACUAAAUGCAGAAGGGAGGUUUUAUCUCACUGGGCUUAAGCAGUUGGGUCAGUGCCUAGUUGAGUCAUCAAUUAGUUUGCAAUUACGGCCCACCUCCGUCAAUUGACAAUAGUAUUAAGGAGCAUUGGCCAGCUUGUUCCUUGAAAUAAGCAUUGGCCCAUGAAUGAGUUAUCCAAUAUUUCAAUAGUUUUUAUUGACAUUUUUUUUGGGUAAUGGUUUGUGGUUGAUAUAGACAGGUAGGAAAUGUUUCAAUUUUUCUUCUAUUGUUUGUCAAAUGUGAAAUUGUAGCCUUUUGGAAGAGGAAUUAAAAUUGUUUGGUUUAUUUUUAGUUUAUGUGCUUGUGUAUAGAAUCCUUGACUUUCAGAUUUGAUUUUAUUUAGCUAAUAGUGCAAUUUGAAAAUUGAAUCCUUAUUUUGCAUUUUUUUUAGAAGCUUUAUUUUGUAGAUUUAGUGCAAUUGAAAUUAUACCUUUUCUUUUUAUAUAAAUAGCAGUGCUGUAUAUAUAUUUUUUAAAAAAGGAGAAAAGAUGGCCUUUUUUUUAGAAACGUCAGUAAAUAUAUUUUUUUAAGGAGAAAAGAUGGUGUUUUUAUUCAAAACGUCAGUAAAAGUCGUCAUAUGAUGUCAGCAUUUAACUGUGACGGUUUCACAUAAUGGAAUGUAUGAAAAUUUAUGACGUUUUAAAAAACGCCAGUUAAAGUCAUUAGCAACGUUUUAUAAACGUUGUAUACCUAAGACACGGCCGUAUCUGCGAGGAAAGUUAUAAACGUCGUCUUUAGCCUUUAAUGGUGUUUUGAAGACUUAUAGUGGCUUUUUUUAAACGUUGCUAAUCCUGAAAAUUCCUGCAGUGUAGUCUGCAACAGAUUGAUUAACCUCGUGGGCUAUGAACUCAUAAACAUGGAUGAAAUUAACGAGAUUGAGCGCAUUGAGUCAUCCAUGAUUCAGAGAUUGCACUGCUAGGCUUUCGGGUCACAAUGACAGUAGGCAUGAUAGCUGCAAGUUUUGAGGUGGUUGUAGCAUUGGAUACAUUGCUGGCGGGGAAUAUAUUGGGCUGCUUAUUAUAGGUCUGAGGUUGGGUAUCAGGAGGUGGUUUCAUUCAGCUGUUCUGUUCUCAGACUCCCUUUGUGUUAAUUUCUCUUCUGCGAAAUGAAGAUUAAAUGCAGGUCUUAUUGGGCUAUGUGUAAUAGUAUUAGUGUGUGAUGGACACUGGGUGCUCUAGCCUUCUGAGGUUAGAGGGUUAGAGCCUCCUGUCACGCCCACUAUUUUUUUCAGUGAUGAUUUGAAGUUCAAUUUCUGUAAUAAUUUUAUAUUCUUUCACUAGUGUUAUGUAGUAUGUAUUUUGUGUUGAUUAUUGGAGUUUACUCUUGAAUUUUAA